ensembl:lncRNA
AAUUUGAAAUGCUUUUCUGUGAGCGACGUUUGGAUAGAUGACUCUUUAACACAAGUACAUCCUGCUUCCCAGAUUUUCUACAGCCAAUGAGCUUCUGUGUUGGACAAUAUUGCUCAAGCUUUCAUGCAUUAUGAUGUCAGAAAGUAUAUCUCUCCAUUCCAUAGCAUAAGGUAUCUUAGAAGUUUCAUUUUUCCUAAAAUUGUUCCAUACAUAUCACACAUUACCAUAGAGUAGGCCUAUCUUUCACCUAAGCUAAUCCAAAUCAUUACAUAUCUAGAGCUGUCCUCUACUCUGCAACCAUCUAGCCUAUGUUUAACCAUUAAAAUCAUCUGUACACAUUUAGCUUCUUCAUCGAAACGCUCUUGAGCAUUUAUUGCUUCCCGAAGUUACCUGGGGUUUAGAUUCAGGGUACAGACACACAACAUUACAGUAGUAGCUAACGCGUGUCUUUGUGUUCGCAUUUGGAACCUGUUUUUUUAACGUCUAUAUCGCUUGAAAAUAGUUCCCUAAUUCAAAGUCGCACCUGUGUGAAACCUGGGUCACACAACAUCAUUUAAGGUAUUUGAUAUAUCAGACAAACAUUCAAAACGAUGCACAUUUCGACACUUGAGAUAUCAAACAUUUUGGUGGUGUUUCAAAGUAACUCUUUAGGCUUAUCGUUACUGGUGUGUUUCAAAAAGGCCACUCGAUAGCUAAAAAUUCUCUUUGAAUCCAAUCACGAUAAAAAUAUGUUUACAAGGUGCUUUUUAAGUUGAUACAUCAAAUACUAAAACGCGCAUCCAACCCAGGUCUCCGUUUGACCUGCAUUACACCACUGGUUUGCAUCGAUACUGUACAAAGCUCUCCACACUCAGGGACGUACGUUACAGUGUGCUGAAAAGUUCAGGUAAAUAGGGCACUAUGGGUUCGAACCAAGAGCGAUACGGUUUCUUUGAUCGAUUCGUCUGAAAAUGAAAACAGUUCAGAGCCAUUGAGCGUCUUCUACCACCUUGUGUGGAACUCCCGAUUUGGAGCAGAACAGCUCAGAACCACGUUAGACAGAGGGGUGAACGCACCCCUUGAAAGCACUCCACAAGCGGACCACAAGUUCCAACAAAUGACAAGAGAGUUCCAUGAUGUCAACGGAGGAAAGGCUGGCGGACCGAGACUCACUGGGGAGGAUGGGGUAGAGGCUGCCCCUGUGGACCGGUUUCUUGAUGGACUGAUGGAUUUGAGAGGUUUUAGGGGGAGACUGAUGGGUCGUGCAUGGUGCUGCUUGAACAUGGAAAAAGUUAUUAUACCGUGUUCCAACCAGGUAAGAUGUGAUAGACAAGAAACAAAAGGAUCAUCU